CGCCCGCUCACCCCGCCGCCUCCGCCGCCGUCGCCCGCUCGCGGCGCCGCUUCCGCCUUCCACUCGCGCCGCCGCCGUCGCGUCGGCGUCUGCGAGCGCCUCCCCCAACCCUAGCCGCCGCCGCUCACGCCCUCUCCUCCCUCUCCUUCUCCCUCUCUCACCGCCACCGCUCCGCGCCGCCGUCCCCGCCUCCGCCUCGCGCCGCCGCCGUCCUCAUCUCCGCCUCCGUCCCGCACCGCCGCCGGAAGGACCAGCUGCCGGCCAUCUCCUACUGCCUUACCAGCCCUCCCAUGGCCGGAGGCCAUCCUACUCGGAUUCCAGCGCGCUCGUCCCCCAGAUGGGCGGUGGGAAUGUACGUCCCCUCCCGGCCCUUGCCGCUGCCGCCGCUGCUUCGGAAUGAUGAGAUACCAAUUUAGCUAUUUCUUGUGUUUUUCCUUGUGUUUUUCUUGGAAUGCCUCUCCGUGAUUAGAUGCCAAUUUAGCUUAUUUCUUUAAAUUACAGGAAGGAAUUGCCAACAGAGCUGUUGGAGAAACACAAAUGAACCUGGCCAGCAGUAGAAGUCACUGCUUAUACAUUUUUUCAGUUCAACAAGGAUCAACUUCUGAUGAGAGCUUCGGAGUAGUGUUACUCGAGAUGUUAACCGGUAGACGAUCAAUGGACAAGAAGCGGCCUGCUGGGUUUGGAAGUUUGGAGCAGGAUGCACUUCAAGGUCACAGAGAAUGGGUGCAACGCCCGUGAGCUAAGAAGAUCAUCCUGUUCGUCUCCACCGCGACCCGAGUCUCCUCUUCCAGAGGUCUCUUUCGCCGUUGGCGCACUCCAAGAAAGCAUCAAGAGACCAAAAGCUGGACAGCUAGCUGGUGCAGACCUGACCUUGUGAUCUGUCCCCUUCCGACUGGGUGGAUGUGGAUCUUGGAGAUAGAAGAGGAGCGGUUUCUUCAGUCCAUGGAUGUCAUCUUUUGAUGCAUUCUCUGCCCCAUGCUGCAUCUCUGGUACGCCUUCCUUUUGCCUUCCCUGCGCAAAAUUUGCUUCUUUCCGCGAUUUGGGGUUCGCCGUAGGCGACUGGUGAUGCUGGGACAACAGGAAAGGAAGCUCCUUUCUGCAUUCUGUGUGAAGUUUAGUGUUCUGUGGUUAACUGGGCGGUUGUUUCUAGUAGCUUUCUGAUGCAAGAAUGGGGGCAAAAUUUUUCACCGUUGGUUUUCUAUUGGGGUGUCGUGUUGCUGAUUCCUGGCAUUAGGUUCAUAUGCUCCAGUUGUAGAGGAGCAAAUUUGCUCCCAACUGUGGACACGACUCGUUUGUGUUUUGCACUGCUUACUACAUAUGUAAUUAUGUAUGGGGAAUUAAUGAGAUCCUAGCUUUGUUGUA